CCUGUCUCACUUUUCCUUUUUCUAGGACCAUGACAGUAAUCUUCAGCACCUUUCUCCUGCUGAUCUCUCUCCCCCCAGUGGCACCACUGAUAUGUCACCAGUGUUUUGGGCCAAUAGAACUGUGCCAGAACAAUACAGCGGAAGUGAAAUGUAGAGAUAACGAGGACACUUGCUUCAACUCGAUUUUUCAAACCAACCUAUUUUGCAAAAGCUGCACGUACGUGCUAAGGUCUUGUUGUCGUUCGGAUAAUUGUUUCCCAGGCAUUUCUACUGGUUCUUUUGCACAUGGUAUUUACCUCUUUGGAAGAAAUGAUUGUUGCCAAGAGGACAGAUGCAAUUUCCCCAGUCCCUC
rnacentral:lncRNA from 1 species